rnacentral:lncRNA from 1 species
UUUUCCGCUUUACUUUCGUAAUUUUUUUCUUUUGCUUAUUCUACUUAUUAAUUCUUACAUUUCUUACAUUCUAGAUUAUUAGGAAAAGAUUUCUCAUCUACAAUAUUUUCAUUUCUGUUAUAUAGAUAUCUAAUAUUUAAUUUAUCUGUCAAAAGUUGUUCUGGAUUUUCUUGAUGUGUUUCCGGUUUAUUAUCUCUGUUCGAUCUGUUUGUUAGAUGUCUUUUUCCAGAUAAAAAUGAAGCGUGAGAGGGAGGAAGCGGCGUCAUCUCCGACAUUUCUCGUGGCGGACUGCACUUUGGAGAAACGUCGGGAGAAAGCGGCUUUAGUUCUAGUGUUGUCGCAGUGGACUGCACUUUGGACAACGUAAACCUGAUUGCCUCUUGCGUCUCUACGCUUGGUCGUACCAUGGAGAGUACUGCGCAUGUACCUCAAGCGUUUCCUGAACACGACAAGAAUAACAAUUAGAAUAUAAUAAAUAGACUAGUCGUUCCUGAGAUAUUUCGCUCCUAUAUUGAUCGUUCCUAUAUUUAUUUUAUCUCGUAUAAUUUUUCUUUUUAAUUGACUUCUUAUUUUAAUUUUUAUCGAUUAUUCUCAUUUCUACAGUUACGUACUCGCGAAUGAAAAAGGUGCUUAAAACAGAAAAACUCGUAGUUGAGGGCGUGUGUUUUUCCCUCAGAAAGCCUCACAAACUACGUACAUGUGUCUCUGUAGCGAGCAGAAAGCUUGCAUUAACGGCUAUGUGCUCUUUCACACUAUUUUUUCGAAACUAUUCUAUGUAUACUUGCUUUUUAGAUCUCCCUCUUUUGUAUAUAUUUACUUAUUGUCUCUAGUCAAAACAAAUUUAUCCCCCUCUUCGUCGGAGUGUUUGCUUGUAUAGUGUGGCGGCCUAUAGCAUAGCAAUUUAGGCUAGUGCACGUACUUAUGUAGUAGAUUAUACUCUACAGCGGCUUAUGCGUGGGCGACCGCUUAAUCUACUACUUCUGCUUGUU